rnacentral:lncRNA from 1 species
UGGCAAUCCCAAUGUACCUGCCUACUCCGGCAUGUCUGAUUCAGAUACCCUCUUAGAUCUCUCAUCUGUUGAUGAGCAAAGAAAGAUUGAAUUACUACAGAAAAAAAUUGAAGAUUUGGUAAGGAAAGGAAAACUUUCAGAUGCAUUUGCAGUUGUUGAUGAUAUGAUUGCAAUCCGGCCUAGAGAUAAUGAAGGUCAUUUGUUGAAAGCUCAUCUUUAUUAUCACGGAGGCUUCUUUGAAUCAGCCAGAGUGAUAUUUGAGGCUAUUUUGAAGAAAGACCCUCUUGUUGUCGAGGCAUACCACGGGCUAAUGAUGAUUGCUGCACAGGAAGAUAAUAAAAAUUCUGGCGGAAAUCUUCAACGAGUACUGGAUGGUAUUGAAUCUGCAAUGGAAACUUGCAAGGUUGAGAAUUGGAGGGAUGACUUGAGAGAUUUUAAACUGUUGAUGUCACAGGUUGCGGUUAUGAAUGGAAAUUACGAUAAUGCAAUUACCCUUUACAGUGAGCUGAUUGAUGAUGACCCAAAGGAUUUCAGGCCAUAUUUAUGCCAAGGAGUUGUUUACACAUUGCUGAGCAGGGAAG